AUUGAACGCUGGCGGCAUGCCUUACACAUGCAAGUCGAACGGUAACAGGUCUUCGGAUGCUGACGAGUGGCGAACGGGUCAGUAAUACAUCGGAACGUGCCUAGUAGUGGGGGAUAACUACUCGAAAGAGUGGCUAAUACCGCAUGAGAUCUACGGAUGAAAGCAGGGGAUCGCAAGACCUUGUGCUACUAGAGCGGCCGAUGGCAGAUUAGGUAGUUGGUGGGAUAAAAGCUUACCAAGCCGACGAUCUGUAGCUGGUCUGAGAGGACGAUCAGGCACACUGGGACUGAGACACGGCCCAGACUCCUACGGGAGGCAGCAGUGGGGAAUUGUGGACAAUGGGCGCAAGCCUGAUCCAGCAAUGCCGCGUGCAGGAUGAAGGCCUUCGGGUUGUAAACUGCUUUUGUACGGAACGAAAAGCCCUGGGUUAAUACCCUGGGGUCAUGACGGUACCGCAAGAAUAAGCACCGGCUAACUACGUGCCAGCCGCCACGGUAA
rnacentral:rRNA from 1 species